rnacentral:lncRNA from 1 species
CGUAUAGAGAGAUUGAAGACAGAGAGAGAUGAAGGAUGACCAUGAGAGAGAAAUCGGAGAGAAGAUAAAGAUUAGAGUUUAUGUGGUGGAAAAACAGUAAACAAAAAACAGGUUUUCUUUAAACACACAACUGGAAAGUGGUCCUGCGACCACGAUGAUAAGGGAAUUCAGACAUCUAAUGAUGUCAAGCUGUUGCCAUCCCACUACAAGGUCAUAGCAUCUCCUUGUGUCAAUGCCUUGGGACAUUGGAUUGACAAGACACCGAGCACCAUUAUUCCUAAAAAGAGCGGUCCUCCAAGAAAGUGAAAGCAAAAGAGAAAGCAAAAGUAAGGAAUAAACACCCCACCCGAAUGAUGUGAUUUACUUUUCUUGUUGUUGAAUGAUGUAAUUUAUUUUUCUUAUAUUUCGGAGACAUCUGUAUAAAC